rnacentral:lncRNA from 1 species
AGGAACCGUCCCCAUUUCAUAUAUUACUGUCUCAAUAACCUCGUAACCUGCCUCCGAUCCGCCUCCAACCCAUCUCACAGAAAACCCUAACGCCGCCAGCCGGGAAUCGCCUCCGCCGGCGGUAGUAUUCCAAAUCGUGUGAAAAUAACACGACCCACCCUCCUCAACCCCCUCUAUCCAAAUCUGGUCUUGGUGUCCCUCGAAUAUCAGCCAAGCUUCUCGAAUAUCUAUUUGAAGUACUGGCUCCUCCGCCGGACACGGUGGCGGCGCUGCCAAUCGACCUCAAAAUCACACUAGACAACCCCCAUACGUUCCUCGUCCCAAAUCCGUCGAUAUCUUACUUCGAAUUCAUCCAGAACUCUGUGAAUUUUGGAUCCGAAGUUCGAGCCUUAGAAGUCAAUUUGGACAUGUGCAUGCAGUGACUGUUCGACAUGGUUUUGGGUCGAAUCAGAGUAUUAAUGUAAAGUUCGGGCCUAGCCGGCGAGUCCGAACCCUGUUUCAUCCUCUUUAGCCUCUGUUGAUUAAUUUGUUUAAUUUUCCUUGUUUCCUUUGGUCACUUCAAAUGGCUCGCGCAUUCGAGUCUGGUCAAGCACUGUUUUCUUUAAGUCGUUAAUGGAGCUUCGUUUACCUCGCAUGUGGUCAAAUAAUUGAAACUAGGUUUAGCUGAAUUUGUUCAAUUACAUUGUUUAGUUGUUUCUCCCGUUUUAACUAUAUGAAGGACUCAGCUAUGGUGCUUUAAUUGCAUGAUAAGAACUUAGUGUUUAACAAUAAAUCUUGAAGUUUAUCAGAAAUAAAUUUCGGUUUAAUUGCAAGAACAUAGGAGUUUUAUGUUGUGAUUGUUAGUUACUAGCUUGUCGGGUUCUAAUAUUGGUAAAUAUUUCUAGGGUCGUAUUUGAAUAAACAAAACUUAAGGGGGGCCUAAGGGUCAGUCAUAGUUUUUUAAGUAAUAACAAAGGCAUAUGAGGGUAACCUAGGUAUUUUGGGUAGGGAAUCUUCUCUCUAACAGCUUUGGAAUCUUCUAACAGGAGGUUUGAUAGUAAAUUGUAGGUCUAAAUUGGUCCAUAAGUUAAAAAAAGAAGGGACCCAAAUGCAAACUCAAAAAUCUGAGAUGCCCUACUUUGUUGCAUAUAAAGAUAUCAUUCCUUGUCUUUGAAAGUAGAGGGCGAAGGGCUGAGAACCCAGGAAAAUACUAAAGUUGCAUAAAUUUCACUUUUUCAUAUAUAAAAGAGAGAUUGGACCUCCUAAAAAUCUGGACAAAAAAUCAAAAACAAACAUUGGAAAAGAUACUAAAAAUUCAGGAGACUAAUAUCUAGGAAGUUACUAUUCUAUUGAAUGUUUUAGGUUGAGGUUUCAGGGAUUAUUGAGGUUGUUUUCGAGUUGAAUUCAGUUCAUUCAAGCUGGUUUUAAGUUUUUGACUGGUGUUAUUUGAUUUAAAUCAUUCCUUUGUUAUUUAACACCACUGCAGGGGCCUUAAAUUGGUUUUGUUGCUGCUGUUUGUUAACUGACCUUCGAUUCUCCUCACUUUGCUUAAUUUCCAGAUACACCUUUUGACUUCCAACAUUUAAAGAGUGGCUUAUAAAGUACCUUUCCUAAAGAGAAAUGAAGAGAUGGUGUGAUUAUCUUGUUUGAUUUUGUUUCCAUUUCUAUGUUCUCAGCUUGUUAUUCAAUUUCAACUUACUUUAAAGUUAUGUGGCAAAACAAUAAUAGGACUGUGAUGUAUUAAUUGUUGAUUGCUGCUAAAAAUCUGUUGUUGUUAGAAGUGGCUAUCAGUGUUGAUUAUUGUUCCUUAUGGCUUGCUUGCUUUGUUUACUCUAAUGGAUUCCAUAUAUUGAGUGUUGAGUGUUGUAAUAGCUUAGUCUAAAGAUCAUUUCAAUAUAGUUAUUUGCACGAUCAGUAUUGUCAUUCAGUCAGUAAUUGGACUAGUUCAAGUGCAGUUGGUUUGUGCUUGCUUCUAGUGCUGUAUUUGUGUUUAAUAUCCUCACUAGGUUCAACUGUAAUUACUUCCAGGCAAAUUUCUGGAUUUUGAGUGUUCACUUGAAUAAAUAAGGCAUUUGAGGUUAUCUUCUGACUAGUUUACACAACUACUUAAUAUCAUUGUGUAGGUAGAAUAUCGCAGAUUCAUCAUUAUUCUGGUUUACAGGUUUUUAAAA